AGUGAACGCUGGCGGUAGGCCUAACACAUGCAAGUCGAACGGCAGCACAGUAAGAGCUUGCUCUUACGGGUGGCGAGUGGCGGACGGGUGAGGAAUACAUCGGAAUCUACUUUUUCGUGGGGGAUAACGUAGGGAAACUUCCGCUAAUACCGCAUACUACCUACGGGUGAAAGCAGGGGAUCUUCGGACCUUGCGCGAUUGAAUUAGCCGAUGUCGGAUUAGCUAGUUGGCGGGGUAAAGGCCCACCAAGGCGACGCUCCGUAGCUGGUCUGAGAGGAUGAUCAGCCACACUGGAACUGAGACACGGUCCAGACUCCUACGGGAGGCAGCAGUAGGGAAUAUUCGGCAAUGGGCGAAAGCCUGAUCCAGCCAUACCGCGUGAGUGAAGAAGGCCUUCGGGUUGUAAAGCCCUUUUAUUGGGAAAGAAAAGCAGCAGGAUAAUACCCCGCUGUUCUGACGGUACCCAAAGAAUAAGCACCGGCUAACUUCGUG
rnacentral:rRNA from 1 species